UAGUGUUAUAAUGUAGCAUUGAGGAGUAGAUACAUCAAGCGGAACGGUUCCCUUCCUCGUAUCGUGUUGUUUGACUGUAGAUAAAUAUCGAGAUUGAUGAAAAAAGAAUCUUGUAAAAGGAAGAAGGACUCUGCGAGACGCUUGAAAUCCUCUUACGUUAAUCCAAAAUAUGUAAAUAUUAUCUUUUUACCUUUGUCGAAAAGGUAAAUUAAGAUAUACAUAUUCGUAUAUGUACUGACUGCAUCUUUCAGCACUCUGAAUAUUUUUGUAAAAGCUUCGCGUGCCAAAAGAAUAGCCACUCUCAUUGGCGCAACGUUCUGUAUUACUUUUCAUAUUCUAGUAACCUGGUGUUGUACAACAAACGAUGAUUAAAAUAUUCCUCAUUUAUUUAAGCGAUUAAGUGCGUAAACGGCACCCACAUUUAUUUUCGUAAGCCCGCACAAAAUGAAGAAGGCGUCAUAAACCAAAAGGCUGGUGGCGAGUUGAUCUAUGUGUUUUUGCGUAUACGGAUCAAAAUAUUUUAUUCAUAAGGUUUACGGGCCCAUGAACAUUGUAGAACUUCUGAUUUUCUGUAUCAAGGCAACUUAUUUUGAUGACGUCGCAGUGAGGCAGUGUGUAAGUGAGGAAAUAAAAAUACAUUUAGAUGUUUUGUGAAAAUUGAAAAGUUGGUUUAAUAUAUAACUAGGAUUGAUUUGUAAUUCAUUUCAUAUAAAACUAGGAUUGAUUUGCAAUUUAUUUUAAAGUAUUAUACACUCUUUAUAUGCAAAUUUGGAUGUUAAGUUUUAAUACACUAUAUAAAAGAAAAAUAAUAUGAUAUAUACUUAAAGUUCAAGUCUGCAA